CCUUGGUUCAAGUUUUCGUGAGUGUAAAGCCCACACGAUUAAAGAGACAAAGGUGCAUCGCACCCUUUGUAGUGCACGACUACCCGAAAGGAGCGAUAUGGGAUCCCCUGCGACCACGGAUUUGUGCGAUGCGAAUGCAGCAUCUGUUGCGAAUGGCGAUCUGCGGGCUCUCGAAUCGAUCUUCCAAGUUUAUGGCCAGAAGCGAUCCUUCUGAGGACCCGUCUGUCAUGGUAUUCGAGGACAACGUCCAAGUCAGGGAAUUCCUCUCGACAAAGGGUGAAGGCUGAGUCCUGGUCGUGGACAGAGGGGGAAGCAGGAGAUGCACCGUGCUGGGAGGGAAGGCUUGCCCGGCGGGGCUAUAACAACAGAUGGACUGGGAUUGUGCUGAACGGGUUCAUCCGGGAUGGGGAUGAAAUCAACGGCUGUCCUAUUGGCCUCUGGUCUUUGGGCUCUGUCCUGUUAAGACCGAAGAAGACAGGGGUCGGAUAAAGGAACUGCCUCGUCUAUGUCGCAGACCACUGGGUUCGUGACGGGGAUUGGCUAUGUGCCGAUAGUGAUGGAAUAAUCGUGUCCAAAUUGAAGCUUUCUGUUUAAGGCCGGAAUGCGGGCUCUCACAGUGUUUCUGAAAUGGAAGAAGUUCGAAUAUCGGUUUCCUUCUGUAAUAAUGAGCGCAGCAGGACGCAAUGGCAGCUUUGCUUGGAUAGCGAAAAAUUGUUCGAGUUGGUUAAUAAGUGCUUCCAUAUGAUCGAAUGAAUCGUGAGAUCGUCAAUUAUAUGCGAAGUUCCGUUUUUGUAUA